GGGGGGGGGGGGGGGGGGGGCGGGGGGGGGGGGGGGGGGGGGGGGGGGGGGGGGCUGGCUCCUCGGACGGGGGCGGCGGACGGGGGAGGAACACGGGGGGAACCUACCUAUAAGACUGGGAUAACUUCGGGAAACCGGAGCUAAUACCGGAUAAUCUAUGGAACCGCAUGGUUCAAUAGUGACAGACGGGUUUGCUGUCACUCAUAGAUGGCUCCGCGCCGCAUUAGCCAGUGCGUAAGGUAACGGCUUACCAAGGCAACGAUGCGUAGCCGACCCGAGAGGGUGAGCGGCCACACGGGAACUGAGACACGGUCCAGACUCCUACGGGAGGCAGCAGUAGGGAAUCUUCCGCAAUGGGCGAAAGCCUGACGGAGCAACGCCGCGUGAGUGAUGAAGGUCUUCGGAUCGUAAAACUCUGUUAUUAGGGAAGAACAAAUGUGUAAGUAACUAUGCACGUCUUGACGGUACCUAAUCAGAAAGCCACGGCUAACUACGUG
rnacentral:rRNA from 1 species